rnacentral:sRNA from 1 species
GAAUAGGUGCGCAAGGGAUAGUAGUGGAAAGCCCACAGCGACGCAGGAGCGAGGACUUGCAGCGGAUAGCCCGACCCGAU